GGUAGGUUGAGGUCACCGGCCACUACAAACAGCCCUUCACGGAAGUGAUCCACCAGUUUGAGUGUUUUUGGAGAUGAAAAUGUGUUGCUUGGUGUUUGGCACGUAGAUAGAGACGAAAGUGUACUUUCUAUGCGCGAUCAUGCCCUUGAUGAAUAGGUAUCUCCCCAGUGGGUCCGCUUUUUUGUCUGUACAGUUGACGGGUGUGUGGC